rnacentral:snRNA from 1 species
UCGCUUAGUCAGCAUAUAUACUGAAAUUCAGUUGAUACAGAGAAAAUUACCACAGUUCAUGUGCAAAGAUGACAUGAAAAUUCGUGAAGUAUUACCUAUUAAA